rnacentral:lncRNA from 1 species
GAAAUGAAGCCUCGCUUCCUCCUUUCUUUCUCCAGCUGAAACCCUGAAGGCUUAAGAUCGCUCAGCUCCUCAGAGGGUCUGAGAUUUUUUCCCACCUGUUCGCUUCUGUGUCCCCCACCGAGGACGUGCUCCCCACGAGGGCUGAAGGCAGUGUUGAAGAUGUGACCUCAGCCCUGAAUCACCAAGAUGACCCAGAGCGCUGACGAUCUGAUGAAUGGAACCUGGUCCAUCAGGC